rnacentral:rRNA from 1 species
AGCGAACGCUGGCGGCGUACUUAACACAUGCAAGUCGAACGAGGAUCGCUACGUGAGCAAUCAUGCGGCGGUUCUAGUGGCGUACGGGUGAGUAACACGUGGGCAACCUGCCCUGGAGCCUGGGAUACCCUCUCGAAAGGGAGGCUAAUACCGGAUACGUUCCCCGGGUCGCGAGAUCUGGGGAGGAAAGGUGGCGCAAGCUGCCGCUCUUGGAGGGGCUCGCGGCCUANCAGCUAGUUGGUGAGGUAAUGGCUCACCAAGGCUAUGACGGGUAGCUGGUCUGAGAGGACGACCAGCCACAC